GAUGAACGCUGGCGGCGUGCCUAAUACAUGCAAGUCGAGCGAACAGACGAGGAGCUUGCUCCUCUGACGUUAGCGGCGGACGGGUGAGUAACACGUGGAUAACCUACCUAUAAGACUGGGAUAACUUCGGGAAACCGGAGCUAAUACCGGAUAAUAUAUUGAACCGCAUGGUUCAAUAGUGAAAGACGGUUUUGCUGUCACUUAUAGAUGGAUCCGCGCCGCAUUAGCUAGUUGGUAAGGUAACGGCUUACCAAGGCGACGAUGCGUAGCCGACCUGAGAGGGGGUUCGGCCCAACGGGAACUGAGAAACGGCCCAGACCCCUACGGGAGGCAGCAGAGGGAAAGUUUCCGCAAUGGGCGAAAGCUUGACGGAGCAACGCCGGUGGAGUGAUGAAGGUCUUCGGUUCGUAAAACUCUGUUAUUGGGGAAGAACAAAUGUGAAAGUAACAAUGCACGUUUGGACGGUACCUAACCAGAAAGCCACGCUUAACUACUG
rnacentral:rRNA from 1 species